rnacentral:rRNA from 1 species
GAUGAACGCUGGCGGCGUGCUUAACACAUGCAAGUCGAACGAGAAAUGGAGACGGAAACCUUCGGGCGGAAGGCUUCAUUUCGAGUGGCGGACGGGUGAGUAACGUGUGGGUAACCUGCCUCAUACAGGGGGAUAACAGUUGGAAACGACUGUUAAUACCGCAUAAGACCACAGCACCGCAUGGUGCGGGGGUAAAAACUCCGGUGGUAUGAGAUGGACCCGCGUUCGAUUAGCCAGUUGGCGGGGUAACGGCCCACCAAAGCGACGAUCGAUAGCCGAUCUGAGAGGAUGACCGGCCACAUUGGGACUGAGACACGGCCCAAACUCCUACGGGAAGCAGCAGUGGGGAAUAUUGCACAAUGGGGGAAACCCUGAUGCAGCGACGCCGCGUGAGUGAAGAAGUACUUCGGUAUGUAAAGCCCUAUCAGCAGGGAAGAAAAUGACGGUACCUGAGUAAGAAGCCCCGGCUAACUACGUG